rnacentral:lncRNA from 1 species
UUCCUUAUUCAGUUUCUUUUUCCUUAUUCGGUUUCUAUUUCCUUAUUCGAUUUUCAUUUCCUUAUUCGGUUUCUUUUUCCUUAUUCAAUUUUCAUUUCCUUAUUCGUUUUCUUUUUCCUUUUUCGAUUUUCAUUUCCUUAUUCGUUUUCUUUUCCUUUUUCGAUUUUCAUUUCCUUAUUCGGUUUCUAUUUCCUUUUUCGAUUUUCAUUUCCUUAUUCGUUUUCUAUUUCCUUUUUCCAUUUUCAUUACCUUAUUUGGUUUCUAUUUCCUUUUUUGAUUUUCAUUUCCUUAUUUGUUUUCUAUUUCCUUAUUCAAUUUUCAUUUCCUUAUUCGGUUUCUAUUUCCUUAUUCGGUUUCUAUUUCCU